rnacentral:rRNA from 1 species
ACGGAGGGUGCGAGCGUUAUUCGGAAUUACUGGGCGUAAAGGGCGCGUAGGCGGUCCAUUAAGUCAGGUGUGAAAUCCCGGGGCUUAACCCCGGAAGUGCAUUUGAUACUGGUGGACUUGAGUAUGGGAGAGGGAAGCGGAAUUCCUGGUGUAGCGGUGAAAUGCGUAGAUAUCAGGAGGAACACCGGUGGCGAAGGCGGCUUCCUGGACCAAUACUGACGCUGAGGCGCGAAGGCGUGGGUAGCAAACAG